rnacentral:rRNA from 1 species
UUUUGGACAAUGGGCGCAAGCCUGAUCCAGCAAUGCCGCGUGGGGAAGAAGGCCUUCGGGUUGUAAACCACUUUUGUACGGAACGAAACGGUUUGCUUUAAUACAGUGGGCUAAUGACGGUACCGUAAGAAUAAGCACCGGCUAACUACGUGCCAGCAGCCGCGGUAAUACGUAGGGUGCACGCGUCAAUCGGAAUUACUGGGCGUAAAGCGUGCGCAGGCGGUUAUAUAAGACAGUUGGGAAAUCCCCGGGCUCAACCUGGAAUUGCAUCUGUGACUGUAUAGCUAGAGUACGGUAGAGGGGGAUGGAAUUCCGCGUUAGCAGUAAAUGCGUAGAUAUGCGGAGGAACCCCGAUGGCGAAGGCAAUCCCCUGACCGUCUACGUCAUCAAAAG